GUAGGGUGCGAGCGUUAAUCGGAAUUACUGGGCGUAAAGCGUGCGCAGGCGGUGAUGUAAGACCGAUGUGAAAUCCCCGGGCUCAACCUGGGAACUGCAUUGGUGACUGCAUUGCUCGAGUAUGGCAGAGGGGGGUGGAAUUCCACGUGUAGCAGUGAAAUGCGUAGAGAUGUGGAGGAACACCGAUGGCGAAGGCAGCCCCCUGGGCCAAUACUGACGCUCAUGCACGAAAGCGUGGGGAGCAAACAGGAUUAGAUACCUGGUAGUCCCACGCCCCUAAACGAUGUCAACUGGUUGUCGGGCCUUCAUUGGCUUGGUAACGUAGCUAACGCGUGAAGUUGACCCGCCUGGGAGUACGGUCGCAAGAUUA
rnacentral:rRNA from 1 species